CGUUUCCUCGGCUCCGCCCUCAGGCCCGUUUCCUCGGCUCCGCCCACUGAUCUUCCUACUGACCCAGGUCACCGACCUUUCACACCAACCAUCUCAAACUCAGCAGUGACGAGAUGUUAACGUGGAAAUACGUUCUGAAGAGGAAGAGGAGGAGGAACAUCAGACUGAAGCUUCAACUCAACAAGUCUGAACAUUUGUUGAAAACUGAGUCAUCUGCUGGGAUGUGUGUGUCUGUGUGUGUGUGUGUGUGUGUGCUCAGAUUCAUUCAGACACACACACACACUCAUUGGGUGGAGCCGGUGGUUAAACAAUCAAUGAAGAAACAAAACAACAGAUUAAUAUCUAUUGAUCUGAAUAAAAUAUUAGAACGUUUCAA